rnacentral:misc_RNA from 1 species
AACGAAGGCUACCAUGAGACUAUCCACGUACGCGUCAGACCUUGCUCACCCUACGAUGAGUGCAACAUGCAACUGACCUGUCCGGAACGCAUCAAGGUCAAAACGGCCGGCCGUCAAGCUUCGGCAUUCAAGCAAUCCGAAUUGUACGCAUGCCACAAAGCGUCCGUAUCAGCUAAAUACCGAGUCACUGAGAGAACUCCGACAAUAAACGACGAGUUAGCAUUCGAUCAAAAAAGAAAAAUCUCUGGCCAGUAAAAAUGCACAACCAAACGCGCCAAGUACGCGUUGAAAGCACGUUGAAAGCAGGUGGCGAUGUGACGAAAUGCGCCAAUAAUGACGUCACAUCCUAAAGAGAGGCUGACUUCCUGUACGUAAGUAAUGGUUGCCGUCUAGUGAGCGCUGGAGCGGAACGGCGGAACUCCGCUGAAAAUGUGAUAUUUUCGGAGUUAGGUUUAAAGUGCUGUGGAUUGUUCGAAGUGGAAGACAGCGCGGACAGCAACUAUCGGUCAUGAUCAAAGACAGGAUAUCAGCGCUGAAAGCGGCCCAGGCAGACGAAGAUGACUUGGACGGAGAUGUGGCUGUCACGCUGGAGACUCCUCCCACAUUUAUGGAGGAGUUCUUUGCAGAGGUGGAAGAGGUUGGGCAGAACAUUGAAAAGAUAGAAAAGAUAGUGCUUGAAAUGAAGAGGAAGCAUAGUGCAAUACUGUCGUCGCCACUCCAGGACGAAAAAAUGAAACAGGACUUGGAGGAACUGAUGGCAGAUGUUAAGAGAAUUGCGAAUAAAGUGAGAAUGAAGCUGAAAAUGAUGCAACAAAAUAUUGACCAAGAGGACCAAUUAAUCGGGAACAGAUCGGCUGAGCUCAGGAUACGAAAAACACAGCAUUCGACACUUUCUCGCAAGUUUGUCGAAGUCAUGACAGAGUACAACAAGAUCCAAAAUGACUACCGUGAGCGGUGUAAGGACCGCAUCAGGCGACAGCUGGAGAUCACGGGGAAAAUGACAACAGACGAAGAAAUUGAAGAGAUGCUGGAAAGUGGAAAUCCAGCCAUAUUCACUCAGGGAAUUGUGAUGGAGACACAGAAGGCCAGGCAGACACUGGCCGAAAUCGAAGCCCGCCACCACGACAUCAUCAAGCUGGAGAAGAGCAUCCGGGAGCUUCACGACAUGUUUAUGGACAUGGCCAUGCUGGUGGAAAGCCAGGGAGAAAUGGUGGAUCGCAUUGAGUACCACGUGAAGAAUGCUGCAGCCUAUGUUGACACUGCCACUCAGGAGACACGACGAGCUGUUCGUUAUCAGAGCAAGGCACGCAAGAUGGUUCAAGUUGAACUUUUGAUACGUUCUUGCUGUAAUGAAACAAACGAGUGCUUAUCCUGAUAUGCAUUGCCAUCUCUGCUGUGCUGCUGGUCAUCAUCAUUGGCAGCUGGGUUGGUUUGUCUUAGCCAUGUUCUGUACGUGCAAGAAGGCGUUAAAUAGGGGUCAGAUGCCAAGUGUAGAUGUCGCACAUUCUCAAAGUUGAGCUGCAAGUUUUUCCAUUCUUACAGCAAGCUAUGUUGUCAUGUGAUCAGCUGAAGGAUCCAUGGCCAAGUGCACCUUGAUGUCUUCGCGUAGUUCCUUUCGUCGGGAAUAAGUCAUGGACCAAAGGAGAGAAAAAGGCCGAGUGUUGUUGACUUGCCAAGUACCACUGUUGUCUUCUCUUAAACCUUUGAAUGUUGUGCACAUCAAUCGCUCCUAGAGGGAUUGAAAAGAGCUUACCUAUGCUAAGUGUGUAUAUAUUAUACAUAUAAAUAUAUGUUACAGGUUCGUAUGUGUACAAAGAUGUUUGUACUGUAUAGCUGUAGUGAAAAGGGAAUAAAAAGAUUUUGCAUAAUACGAGAA